UGUGCAGUCAAUCAACAAACUCAGAACCAAACACACACAAUCCACACUCGAUAUCUCUCUCUCUUCCGGCGAUACACUCAGGCGGAGACCGGUUCCGGUGCACGGCGGAGCCGCCGGCGGCGGCGGAGCUCCGGCCAGUGGCGACUGUUUUCUGGCAUCACACACCCCCCCUCUUCCGAGCAACAGGAACGACCACCACCACCACAGUCCGGUGGUGGUGUGACGGCGGAGACAGAGAGACGGCGAGGAGAGGGAGAGAAACGAUGGAGGAGAGAGGCGGAGCAGAGGUGACGGUCCGGCGGUCCUUGUCUCGGACCGCCGGUCGAUUCGUUUAUCCGGUGGUCAAUGUUUUUAUCUGACGAGCUCCGAUUCAGGUGGUGGUUCCGGUGACGGCGACGGCGGCGGUGCUUCACUCCGUUCAGGUGACUCCAGGUUUGGAUUCAAGCUUUGUUACGGUUCAAAUUUUGGUAAAACUGUGGUUUGGGUGACGUCUCGGGUUGCGGUCGGAUUUGUGUCGGGUUUUUGGGUUCUACUUGGGACAACCACAAGUUUGUUCGGGAGUCAAUGGGUUCAGAUCCGGUUCAGGUGCAGUUCGGGUUCAGAUUCGGGUCAGUGGGUUCGAGCUUUGAUUCUAAUACGGUUCGGGUCAACUCGGUCAACCGAGUUAACUCGGUCAACUCAGUCAACAGGAGUCAACCCGGUUGACUCGGUCAACUCAGUCAGCUCACUCAACGGUUCGGCGUGAAGACUUGGAAUAUUGUAGAAUGCACGCUAGCGAGUCUCGUCUUGGAAGCGACAUCGCGAAGUCGUAUUUAGCUAGCUUUGCACAGGAAUACUCAGGUUGCUUUUCAAAGUUAUGGCACGGUUGGAAUAGGGGAACCAUGAAGAGUCGAGUACUUAGUGGGCAUUCAAUUUUCUAGAAGUCUUAGCUUAUUUGCUUCCGCUGUGCAAUGAAGAUACCAGUCCAGUCACGCCAAUGCUCUGAUAAUUUCGGGGUGUGACACAUGUCACUAUAUAUCCAGAACUUCUACAAGAAUUCUGGUGGAAUCCUCAAAUCAUUUUAAGUGGCACUUCCAUGUGGAUAAAUAGUGAGGUUAUGGGGGUAAAAAUCACCCUAAAGGAGGAAACACUCAGAGAUGUCCUCCGAUUGGGUGUUGAUCAAGAAAACACCAUCCUGGAUAAGGCAGAUGUGCAACGAACCUUGAUAGAAAUGGGCUAUCAUUCAAACAAUGUGUCAAGGCAAGUUAACAAAUUUGGGUUUAUACCACCUUUCCAGUAUCUGGUGACACAGCUAAGUGUCUGCUUUUCUAAAAAGAUUGGGCACUUCAACGAGUUGUCUCAUAGGAUGAUGGAAGUGGUUCAUGCUGUUGUACAGGAAAAACCUUACAACUACUCUAAGUUUCUCAUGAGAGACUUAGAAGCAAACAUUCAUGACCGUCAGCCUUUUCUGAUCUACCCCCGAUUCGUAACCAAGGUGAUCACAAGUCAGCUAGACUUUGGAGGAGUGAGAAGCUGGUAUCCAAGAGCUGAGCUGGCACUUCAAGAAAACAUAAGAGAUGCAACCCUGGUUCCAUCAACGAAUCACACUGGAAGGAUAACCAGUCUCUGGUUAUAUGUGAAGUGCAUGUAUAACGUGCUGGAUGAGGAGGAUGAGUAGUUGGUGUUUACUUGUUUUAGUUUUUUUUGUGUGGGUGUGUGUUUAACUGUCUUUCUUCUAGUUAUAUAUUAAGUUUGCCUUAAAUUUG